AAGCCCAUCUCGCUCGGGAACGCCUGCCACUACUCAUGAUAUAUUUAGCCUCUCAUACUAGCUGCUCAACAUCACCAUGCCCAUGCAUCCAUCUCCUACCUACCUCUCAAUUGUACUGUAAUGGAGUAUUUAUUGAUUUAUUUAUGCUUUGCUUCGUCUUCUCUUCUCUGUAUUGAUUUUCUUUGUUCAUUCCUUCUACCUUUCGUAUGCAUAUUUUGGGGUUAUUUUCGUCUAUUUUAAUAGUGAUGACGGUGAGGCUAGGUAUGUCUUUCAAGAGUCGUCAGAAGGCGGAAACUUUACAUGUAAACUCAAAACAUUUAAUCUAAAUUAUGGAAUAGUCCAAUGAAAUGAAAAAAUCUACCGCCAAUAUACCGUUAUUCACACACAAGCCCUAGGACCCUAGCUGUAUAUAACCCAUUUUUUAGUAACAUAACUUCAUAAAAGAAGAUGUAACAAAAGCUGUGUAAUUCCUAUCAUGAGGUAACAAAAUAAUUAUACUUCCUAAUGAUCAUAUAAUUUAUUUUAUAAAGGCGAGCCUCUAUGGGAAAUUUGCCAGUUUAUUUAUAUACCAUGCACCCGCGAGGAUUUAUUUCACUGCCUGUGGAUCAAAAUAAAAUAUCAAUGUGUUUUAUAGAAAACAAAAUAAAAUAUAGUUAAAAUAUCAGACUAUUCACGAAUUGAGACAAAAAACAAUAGGGUCCAUCUGUGUCGGCCCAACAAAUGGCCCAAACUGUACAAUUGCCCCAUCCGCAGUCCGUGCGGUCCGCUCGCCGUACCCUUCUUUAUGUUAUUGGGCAAAAAUCUUCACCCAAUUGGUAAACGGGUAUUAAAACGUUCCACCUUCAUUCAUACCUGUUAACCCGUAGAUAUAAAAUACCCAAUAUAAACUUAGCCCAAACAUUAACUUAGAUUUAGUCAUUCAUCUUUUUUACUAUUUAAUAACCUUUUAGGCCAUUAUGUCAUAGAAGGCUUAACUACAAUUUAAUGACCAUGUAAUGGAACAUGUAAUUCACCCAAUGUGUAUUGAAUGGAUGGUUAAAUGAUGCUGGAAAUUUUGUAAUGGUAUUUAGAUGAAUAUACUUUACAUUUGUAUAAUAUAAUAUUUUGAUAGAUGUUUAAUUUUUGUGGGUACGGGUGACCCGAUGGGUGACCUAUACCCACGUGGGUAUGAGUAUGAGGGUAAAUCCAUACCAACCAAUGUAUAUGAGUGAUCAGAUAUGAUUAUUUUUUUGUUGUGGAUAUGAGUAUAUGGUGGUAAUAUCUUGUAGGUAUCUAUUGCCAUCUCUAGCCUGAGGUCCUGAGCGGCGUGCGGCGCUUCUCCAAAUCUCCCAUCCUAUCGACUCACGUUCCUGCGUUCGAAACCCUAUUUCCGUCCGAGGCGGCGGCGGCGGCGGACCGGCAGCUCCCCGCUCGGCUUGUAUUGGGCGGCUGUCGCGCUGCAGCAGCCAGGGGCAUCGUCGCGCUCGCACCAACCGAAGACGGCGUCGGCCUCCACGCGGCACCGACGACCGACCCACCGUCCCAAGUCCAACGAGGAGGCCGGAGCGCUGAGCAGCCGUCUGCAUCCUCCUCCCGAAGGUGAGCCCCCAUCCCCAGUCCUAAUUCACCAGGUACAGGCCGAUUAGCAUAUUAACAGGCCCACACACAACCCAUCACCGCUAAACCCUUUCUUUACAACCAACACAGCAGGCGAUAUAUCACACACACACACAGGACAGGGCAACCCCACCGGUCGGUGUCCACCCCGGGAAUUUGCCUGGCAAGGAUUUGCCUCCCCUGUGCGGGCUCCCCCAGGGUUUUCCUAGCCGGGCUGCCAAAGGAGGCCUUACAGUGACCAUCACCCACUAGGUUUGCCUACCCCUUCUCUUCCCUUCAUGUUGUGCGAACCUGAGCACCCAAACCCUAACUUAAGCUAUUUUGCUAUCUGUACUUGCAUCUGAUAGUUAUCAAUCUAUGCGUCUUUCUUGCCUACUGAAUUAAAUGUUGUGUCUGCCCCUAGUUCUUCUGCGGCGAACAAGGUCAAUCCAGGGCCGUGGUGCGGGUGCUGUUUUUUUUCCAACAAGUUUAUGUUGGUCGCUCGACCGCUGCAGCAAUGAAGAUGUGAGUGCUCGUGUCUCACCGCCAACCUAUAACUUUUUGUUGUUCCUUGUUACUUGUAUGCCGCGCCAACCUGUGCAUCGUCUACUGUACAUAUACUUUUUUUCCUGAGCACCACUGUACGUAUUUCGCACCAUGCAUUUCUUUGAAAAAAAAUGAUCCGACAUGUGCUUCAGAAGUUGCUGUUGGCCUGGGUUCAACCAGGCUGCCUUGGAUGCGAGUCCUUGAUUAAUGAUCUUUUUCAGUUUUGCUGGAUAAUUUUCUCGAACUUUAACCAUAAAUGGGUGAUCAAGUGUGAGGCCAACCAUGUAGAUUUUUCAAGUUUAUUUCUCAAUUUUCAAGGCCGACAAGGGCGGCAGCAACAAGGGCACGCCGGGCGGCAAGGGGUGGCAGGAGAUCGGCAUCAUCGAGGAGGAAGGGCUCAUGGACGAGGAGGACCACACGCGUAUCGUGCCCCACAAGUGCUACUGCUUCCUCGCCUUCCUGCUCGGCUUCGUCGCGCUCUUCUCCUUCUUCGCGCUCGUGCUCUGGGGCGCCAGCAGGUCCCAGAAGCCGCGCAUCGUCAUGGGCACCAUCCGCUUCGACAACUUCAUCAUCCAGGCCGGCACCGACGCGUCGCUCGUGCCCACCGACAUGGCCACCACCAACUCUACCGUCAGAUUCACCUACCGUAACAGGGGCACCUUCUUCGGGAUCCACGUCACCGCCGACCCGUUCCAGCUCUCCUACAGCCAGCUCACGCUCGCGUCAGGAGACGUAAGUGAAUCUGUCCUCGUCCGUCCAUCCAGAUGGAGAUCCAUCUAUCCUGGACUGUCUAACAAAGGGAAUCCGUGAAUGAAAUGCAGCUCCACAACUUCUACCAGCCUCGCAGCAGCAGCCGCACCGUCAGCGUCGCCGUGGUCGGCAACAAGGUGCCGCUGUACGGCGGCGGGCCCACGCUGACGGCGGCGCCGGCGGCCGGGGGCAAGGGGCAGCAGCAGGCCAGCGCCAAGGUGGCGUCGGUGCCCAUGGUGCUGAGGACCACGCUGCACUCGCGGGCCUACGUGCUGGGCGCGCUGGUCAAGCCCAAGUUCACGCUCGCCGUCGAGUGCAGGGUGCUCAUGAACCCAAACAAGCAGAACAAGCCCAUCUCGCUCCGGAACGCCUACCACUACUCAUGAUAUAUUUAGCCUCUCAUACUAGCUGCUCAACAUCACCAUGCCCAUGCAUCCAUCUCCUACCUACCUCUCAAUUGUACUGUAAUGGAGUAUUUAUUGAUUUAUUUAUGCUUUGCUUCGUCUUCUCUUCUCUGUAUUGAUUUUCUUUGUUCAUUCCUUCUACCUUUCGUAUGCAUAUUUUGGGGUUAUUUUCG
rnacentral:lncRNA from 1 species